UAUCUGCAUCUGGGUCUUAUCCUGGGGCGUGAUAUCCCUAGGAUAGUGCACUACUUUGGCCCUAUCCACACAUGGGGAAUAUGGUGUAAACUGAGACAAUUAGGGCUCUGGUCGAAAGUAGUGUACUGUAUGGGGAAUGGGAUAUCAUUUGAGACACAGCCACUCUUUCAGAUGAGAGGAAUCCUCAGGAAGUCCAACCAUAGUUGUUCAAGUUGAUUUGUUCCCAGAUUGACCUGAAUGUCCCCUGCAAUACUUGUCAAUUUGACAAAGAGAACAGAAAAAGCUAUUACCUUGAUUGGAAGAGGUUUCCAAUUAUUUAGGAUUGUUCCUAUUUGUCCAGGAAAUUAGCGUUCCGUUUCAUCCAGUUUCACCCCCCCUCUCAUUCAUCUAGCUCCAAGCUCAGAUCAACCCCAAUAUAUUACUUGGUUAUCAAAAAUUCCAUUGUCCACUAAAUUGAAUUGGCUAGCUAGCAGCUAAAGAUACUAUAGUAACCCAUGUAAGUCAAUUAUAAAACAUGGUCUAUACUUGACACAAUUUCAAACUAUAAGGUGGUCCAUAUAUGGAAAUACUUCAUGUAUGGUGUUAUCAAUAUUGUAUGAAUCCGAAAGGUAGACCCUUCAAAUGUCAUUACAUCCUUUGUGCUGUCAGGAUAUUGUUGUCUUUUUUUCAUUCAGGACACAGGAAAUUGAGAACUAUUCUCCUCUUCUCCUAUAAUUUCCUAUCCAUAUUUCCUGGGGUGAGGUGCCUCUGCCCAAGUGUGGCGGUUUGACUCUCUCCCUUUUCUCUCUCCAUCUCUAUCUCUCAGUAUACAUGGACAAUAGACAGCGUGAACCAGAGCAACCAGUGUAGACCAGAGAAGAGUGGGAGAGAGAGUGGAGAAAGAGAGAGAGCAGGUGCGUGUGUGUGAGAGAGAGAGAAAGGAGUGAAUUAUUGAUGUUACUAAGUAGGCUUGGGAGUUCGGAGUGGAACAUUUUAGGGUGGAAAAUGAGAAAAUCAAUCAAUCGAUCCCAUUUAUUUCAUAAAGCCUUUUUUUUACAUCUGCAGUUGUCACAGAGUGCUUUACAACUAUUACAGCCUAAAGAGCAAGCAAUGCAGAUGCAGAAAAUCGGAGAGAAAAUCGUGGAGAAAGUGAUAUAAGGGAAAAAAGGAGAGAGGCAGCGAGACUCCCACUGGUUCUUAAUGUCUCCACAGAGCACAGGAGAUAAAGGCCACUGACAAGAUUAAUAUUCAGUUCAAACACACACAGAUAUUACUGAACGUCUUUACGGGAGGACUUCUCUUAUCCAUCCUUCUGUACACUCUUAGAAAAAAUGUUUCCAAAAGCGUUCUUCGUAGGAGAACCCUUUUUGGUUCCAGGAUGGUCCUUUUAUGGUUCCAAGUAGAACUUUUUGGGAUUCUACAUGGAACUCAAAAGGGUUCUAACUGGAACCAAAAAGGUUCUACCUGGAACUAAAAAUGGGACAGUCGAAGGACCCUUGUAUGUUCUCGAUAGCAGCUAUUUUUCUAAGAGUGUAUUGAUUAAAUAUUCCUCACUAUGAGUUUACCCAUCUGUCCACAUUAUGUUUUGUUGAUGAGACCUGUCACACGUCGGGUAGAUUGGUCAUAAAGUAUCCAUGUGGGCUGUCAGUGUCAGGGGGUGAUGGAAAUUGGAUACUAUGGGCUUUAUUUUUCAUCUGGCAUUAAGCCAGUGCAAUUCUCGAAAACACAAGCUCAUUGGGAAUUUCAACCUGUUAAAGCUGCCGUUGUGCUAUUUACCAACCCUUGCGUCAGGAAUGGCAAUUUACUUGUCUUAUAUGAACUCGCUUGCACUGAAGUGAGAGGUGUGGCAAUAUCUGAGGUGUGUCCUCAAACGUGCGCCAAAGUGCCAAUUUCAGGCAGCAAUGGAGGAGAUAUUUAAGUCCAACCAAAAGUUGGUCCUAGCGGUAACGCGGUUGGCUAUGGCAUGGAUUUUCACAGAGAAAGCAAGCAGCCGAUCCAGGCAUGACGCACAGUUCCCACAUGCUCAUGGAACAAGAGAGAUGUGUAUGAAGUUAAAAUAGAGCCUUAACUUGAAGGGUCAUGUGAAGGAAAUGCUAGAACCACACCCCAGCCACAUCUAGCUAAGUGGAUGGGUCACUAUUGUCUAGACGUGUACACAUGUGGAUGAAAUACAAUAGAUGGCCGUAAUCACCCCCAGACAUACCUGGCUAAUUUGAUGGGCCAUGGAACAAUCCAGCCGAAGUGGAGUCUUUGUUUAGACAUGUAGCUAGCUAGGUAGCUAGAUAGCUAUCUAAACAAUGAACCGGAAUAAUCCCAACUCAUACUACCAAUGCAAACAUUGUCAUAUCUGUAGUAUGAAUCUGCAGGUAGCUAAAGCUAACAAACUAGGUUCAAUGUUAUCCACCUAACAUUAGGCUAUAACAAUCAAUGAAAAUGGUUCUGAUUCAAAUAAUAUUACCACACAGAUCACACACAAUGUCACGGCUUGGUGACAUUGUUGGAUAGAGAUUAUGAGUGAAGAGUGAUAGUUUACCAUAUUUGGGAUAAUAUUCCAUUCAAAUUCGUUUUUUCAAAUUACAGGAGACGGAGGAGGUAUAUUAUAAAUUGUUUUCUUGGUUUUAGAACAAAUGUAUUUAAAUGUGCUUUGCUAACUUCAGUAGCUAGCUAGCUACCAGCACGAGUGUGCAGUUUUCUACGCCAGAAUGGUAGAAAGGCCAACACUGCCAGAAAUGUUGUGGACUUUUUGUUGAAGAACCCCUUUCUUUCUCUGGGGUACACACAAAAGGUGCGAAUUAAAAACGAGGGGCGAUCUCUGCCUGAAAUCAGUUUCAUGAAGACGGAUGAAAAGGUUGAGGGUGUUCAAUACUAACCUGAAUCAAAAUUAUAGCUGGUUAACAGGACGCCUUUCAUCAGGCCGCCUGUAUUGCUGGCCUUACCUGCAUUUUGGAAAGUCUGAGCCUUGGUUGAAAGGUGGGUGCAGUGACCUGAACAUUGAUCGUUCAGCUAAACGAAAAAACAAAAGCAGGGCAUGCAAGAAUUUGCUUAUAGGGGGACAUGACUUGAGGGAAAGUUCCGUUAACAAGGGCAACUACAAGGAGCUUGCAGAGGUAAUUGCCCGUUAUGAUGCUUUACUUGCUGAACAUAUGGACAUUCGACUGUCUUUUCUGGGAUGUUGAAAACAAUACUGAAUGAUUUGAUAGCUACCAUCGCCUCAUCCAUUAAGAAUUAUAUUAUAGAGAGAGGUUGACGCAGCGCAUUUUUUUCCACAUGUGCUCAGGUAGGCUUUCCACUUCCCUCCGGUAAUUUAUUUAGCAAAGAUGAUAACACAUAAUCACUCCGGACAGACACAAGCAACAAAUCAUGACAUGAAUGUUGCAGCAGCCUAGGCUACACCUAAACAUUAGAAAUCUGACAUGCUGUAUCGGAUGAAAAUGAGACGAUGUUUGAGUCUGAUCAACUGUUAAAAAUUGCCCCACCGCUCUGGGACCUGCACCAGUCUGCUUGCAGUUGUCAGGUAUAUGGAGGAUCAGGGCUUUAUUCAGGAACAUUUCUUGGGCUAAUUUAAUGUUUCAAGUGUGCGAGAUGCACAGUCUGUGUUUGACUUUAUGAAUUUUGAAUGUCUGAGUUUAAGUUCAUGGAGAAGCUUGUUGUCCAAACCUACAAUGGUGCAGCUGUAAUGGAAUGUAUCUGCUAUUUGUAUUCAUAGCCAAGUCCCCUCCUGUUCCCUGAUUAAGAGGUGAUGACUACUCCAUUCCACUAACAUUGUCAACUUUCUCCUGACAUGAACUGAAGCCACGUUUCCCCUCCAAGCACUGCGAGUACCCCUAUCAAGUUUCUCUAAUUACCGUAUCAAAUCAAAUCAAUUUAUUAAGCCCUUCUAUAUAAAACCCCAAACAGCAAGCAAUGCAGCACGUAUGUAGAGACAAUCACUUAUGCAAUCACAUCAAUGAUUUUACUCCUUGCUUGGACUAACUCAUUUGUAUCUCUUUUGUCUAACUGUGUAGUGUGUUGUCUUAUAGUUUCUCUUCCCAGUCAAAUCCUGUCCUGCACUGGUCAAGCCUCUGAACACCUUAUCUCAUGCCUCAUACCCUCAUUCAAUCACUGCUGUGAUCCCUUUCCAACACGGUGUAAGUAGCCCUCUCAUUCCCAUUCCCCAUAAUAUUGUACUUUAAAUGUCUUUAUUAAAUGCUUUAGGUUAAAAUAAUUCGUCUUUGACGAUUUUUGAAAUACACUUUGCCGUCUCUGUGCGUUCCGCACCUAUACCGUGGAUCUCCCAUCCUCCUCAAUUUUUCAAGUCACCAGCCUCCACUGGUGUAUACUGUAGUGCAUCACUGAUGCUACAGUGGAAAAGCAGCAUUGGAGCCCUGGUGUAAUGUGUGAUCUUAGGCAUGCUCUCUCUGUGUCUCCUGUGUCUCCAGGACCUGAGCCGCUGGUUGUGCUGCCACUGCGACUGCAGCUGUGGACCCCUGGCCUGAUAUCACUGGGCGUUCUACCUUGUUCCAGACCCCUGUUGAUCAAGUUUAGCCAGGAUCUUGUUUGCAGACUUCUUCCUGAUUAACAUAAUCCUGUGGGUGGAGGGCUUCUUGGCAGCCAUCCCCUUCGAGCACAUUGGUGGCCAUCUUGGCUUUGUGGUUUAGCAUCCCCGUGCCCCUCACCUUCGUGGGCGCCUAGUAUAGAUCGGCUUCAAGAAGCCUGCGAUUGAGCAGCCAUUGCGAACCAACAAGAUCACUCGGCAGAUCCAUUAACAUUCCUUCUUCACCAAGCCCAUGCCGGGAAUCGUCAUGGGGGGUAUCCUGACCUCCGACUGCAUCUUCAUCCAGCACUUCUCCAUUCUCAACAGCAUCUGGUAAGAACAAGAAUCAAGUCUGCCACUCAACCAUGAGCUUUGAAUUAGCCUAGUUGUGCAUGUAUAAUGAUUCACAAAGAAACAAACAAGUAAUUCGUUGAUUAUUAGAUUGUAGAUGUUAAUUACACAUUAACGAAUAAGUAAAUGCCUAAUAAUUUGUUUGAACCAAGGUCAACUCAGCCCCUAAGCAAGGAGACUGAAUUUGAUUGAUUGUUGAGUAUUUUAUCUCACAAGAUGUACUACAUGUUUGGGUUCCUGUUCCUGGUGUUCAUCAUUUUUCUCAUCACCUGCUCCAAGACCACCAUCCUACUGUGCUACUUCCACUUGUGUACAGAGAUGGGUGGAGCAAUAAAUACAUGUAUCUGGUUAUCACAAUAAUGACCUACUGUGCUCUCUCUCUCUCUUUGUAUGUAAAUGCGUAAUAUUUGUCAAAACAGAUUUCUAACCUUUCCAGUUUGCCAGAUUGUCUGUGUCGUUAUGUUUAGCCACCAAGUGUAAAGUCUUCGUGUCAACAGUAAAUCUAUUUCAGUUUAAUGAAAACAUUCUAAAUGAUGCAAAUGUUUCUUUCUCAUAUCAUUACAUUUAUCCCAAGCGCUAAAACCUCAAUACUGUGUCAAAAAAUGUUAUUGAGCAGAACCUUAAGUUUGUGUUGUGUUUUAAUAGGACUCGCUGGUGGCGUCAUUCCUUCCUGAUCAGUCUCUUCAUGACAGUCUAAUUGUUUGUCUACGACACGCAUUACUUCUCCAGUGUGGCUACUACAAUACUCUACUUCACCAUGACCAUGGUGCUCAUAUUCUUCCCCUUCACAAGGGAGCCAACAACAGUGCCACACUAUGCAAAGACAUACUCUGUAACAGGGUUUCACAGAGGAGCUCAAACAAAUAGGUUAUCUCCUAAUAUUCACUUUAACAAACACAGUGCAUUCCUCUCAAUAGGAAUUGUAUCCACCUUAUAUAAAUUGAAAUUUGGGGUGCUGUCAUAGCGAGCCAAGCCAGCUGAAAAUAUUGAAACAUGCAUGAGAGCACCAGCUGUUCCGGAAGACUGUGUGAUAAUGCUCUCCGUAGCCGACAUGAGUAAGACCUUUAAACAGGUCAACAUUC